rnacentral:rRNA from 1 species
AACGAACGCUGGCGGCAUGCCUAACACAUGCCAGUCGAACGAGACCUUCGGGUCUAGUGGCGCACGGGUGCGUAACGCGUGGGAACCUGCCCUUAGGUUCGGAAUAACUCCCCGAAAGGGGUGCUAAUACCGGAUAAUGUCUUCGGACCAAAGAUUUAUCGCCUUUGGAUGGGCCCGCGUUGGAUUAGCUAGUUGGUAGGGUAAAAGCCUACCAAGGCGACGAUCCAUAGCUGGUCUGAGAGGAUGAUCAGCCACACUGGGACUGAGACACGGCCCAGACUCCUACGGGAGGCAGCAGUGGGGAAUAUUGGACAAUGGGCGAAAGCCUGAUCCAGCAAUGCCGCGUGAGUGAUGAAGGCCUUAGGGUUGUAAAGCUCUUUUACCCGGGAUGAUAAUGACAGUAUCGGGAGAAUAAGCUCCGGCUAACUCCGUG